rnacentral:tRNA from 1 species
GCCAACGUCGCAUAACCUGGUAGUGCGCAAGACUGGAAAUCUUGUUCCGUAAGGAAUUCCCGGUUCAAAUCCGGGCGUUGGCG